GACGAACGCUGGCGGCGUGCUUAACACAUGCAAGUCGAACGGAAAGGCCCUGCUUGCAGGGUGCUCGAGUGGCGAACGGGUGAGUAACACGUGGGUGAUCUGCCCCUUACUUUGGGAUAAGCCUGGGAAACUGGGUCUAAUACUGGAUAGGACCAUGCUGUAGGUGGUGUGGUGGAAAGAUUAGUUUCGGUAAGGGAUGAGCUCGCGGCCUAUCAGCUUGUUGGUGGGGUAAUGGCCUACCAAGGCGUCGACGGGUAGCCGGCCUGAGAGGGUGGACGGCCACAUUGGGACUGUGAAACGGCCCAGAGACCUACGGGGGGCAGCAGUGGGGAAUAUUGCACAAUGGGCGCAAGCCUGAUGCAGCGACGCCGCGUGGGGGAUGACGGCCUUCGGGUUGUAAACUCCUUGCAGCCAUGGCGAAGCGCUUGUGGUGACGGUAGUGGUAGAAGAAGCACCGGCUAACUACGUG
rnacentral:rRNA from 1 species